rnacentral:misc_RNA from 1 species
UUGCGCGCCACAUACGGCCCCUGAUGACAGGUGUGCUUGUGUGGGGUGGAUGGAUGUGUGGGAAGGGGGACACCUCCGUGCAUGGCAUCUCAGGGCUCAAGAGCCCCCCCCCUCCACACACACACACACACUGCGUGGGAGGGAGCCAGGCAGCCCCUCCCCUCUCUCCCUGCCAAAUGCCAAAACACUUCUUGUGGUGACGGGGCCAGGUGCCUACGACGUGGGAAUGCCAGAGCAAUGCGUCCCUGGCGAUGUCGGCGGUCAUGUCCUGGACGGCGUUCUGCGUUGGAGCGACCUGCAACAGAGCACGCGUUUGUGCCGUCCAUGUGACAGGCAAAGUGCCGACUUGAGUGUAGCUGAUCCCCGGCCCUCACACUGCUCACAGAAGCGAGGAAUUCCUGAGCCACCGCCAGGGGGGGAGGACGCUCCAGGGGUGGCGAACGACAUGAGGGGAGCGGCUAUGAGGCGACCUGCGGAGCGCGAGAUGGAUGGGUAGGGUUUUGAGCAGAGACUGUGCUCAGAUGACUGAGUCGGCACAUUCCUUUAGCGCGUGUGCCCCCGACCACUUUGCACGACGCGAUGGGGACCUGUGACAUGCCGGGGGUCGAGUGUCGUUGAGCUCACGUUGUAUGGCGGAGAAUGAAGGCGUCGAAAGAAAGAAGCGAAAGAAAACUACGCGUGGUCUGUGGCAGGCAUCCUCUACGCAGACGUUGGUGACUGGUACGCUGCCUCAGGGAAGGGGCGGGGACACUUCAGGCAGUGUGUAUCCUCUGCGCACGCAUACAAAGAGCGAGAAAGAGUUUAUUCGCGUACAGACGUGAACGUGGCGCACGGACGAACAAGGAAAAGGAAAACAAGACACUUCCCCCAUUCCAUCCCCUGCGCACACGCACACACACACACACAUAUACACAUAUAUAUAUAUAUAUGCGCCCACACUGGCCACCGUGCCACUCACAGGUUGCACCACCCGAUUCCAUGUGAUUGCCUCGCUCAAAAGGUUUGUGUCCGCGCGCGUGUGUGUGCGUGUGUGUGUUUGUGUGCGUCUCGUCUGUUGCGGGUGUCACACCUUCGCAUACGUUGCCUUGCCGUUUCACAGUUUCUGUUCAACUCUCGAGGUCGUUUUGUUAUUUUUUUUUGUAUAUUUUCCUAUCUUACUUUCCACUCUUACUCGAUGGGCUCUCUCUCUGCAGAGUGUAACGUGAGUGCUUGCGUGGGGCGCGUACGUGUCUUCUCGGUUGUAUUGAUGUCAACUUCUCUCGUUCGCUGUUGCGGUGUUUCUCUUUUUUUUUUGUCUUUGCGUGUGCCCUCCAUGGACGAGUUCUGGCGUUGUUGGUGUUAGGUCAUGAACGGAGCUUUCUGUGUGCAUGUGGGUGCCUCUAUUCCAGUGUGUCUGAGGGUAGAUGUACAGAUGCAUGCCGACGAAUGCGCGUGUGCCCCCUGUGCCCUGCCUUCCCCUCCUCACCGCAAACCCUUCCCCCUUCCCCGUUUGUGUCGUUGCAGCACUUCGACCGUUCCUGCCUCGUUCUCUCACUACCACUACCCACACUACUGCGUCAGCGGCGGCAGCAGCAGCUCGUUGUUUCUCUUGCGCAUUUCAACCCCGCAGCGAAACGCAGAUUCGCCAUGCGCAUAAAGCCACCAAAGGACAUGGGACGUGCAAGACGUGCAGAGGCGGCAGGGUAGCGCGAAUACAGAGAAGAGAUCCGAGUACACCAUGCGCGGGCUGGCUGAGGUAAGCGAAGAGAGGGACAUGCAAGAAGGUUGCUAUGUGUGCGUGCUUGUGCUUGUGUGAAAGAACCGCAGAGAGUGCGAGGGGCGGGGGUGUCACAGGAUGGGGAAAGUAGUUGGGGGGGCGUGGGGGUGUUGGGGAGUGAGGCGACAGUGAACGUGAUUGGCGUGCACUUCUUCCUUAUGGAGCGGCUGCGGUUAUUUUACGGUAGCCAUCAAAAGGCCCUCCCCUUUCUCGCCGUCUACGCACCUCAGGCAAAACGCCAGCACAAAUAAGCGUGUGCGCGUCUGCGUGAUGGUUUAGAAGUGUUUUCGGCGCAGUAGGUUGCAUCUCUGACGCCCCCCCCAAAAAAAAGAAGGAAGCAAAAAAUAAAAGGAAAGAACAACAACAAAAAAACGUGUUUGUGCGCGCAUCUCUUUCAGUGUGUGCUGGGGUGUUUGCAUGUGAGUGCGUGUGUGUGUUCGGAGGGCUUGGGAUGAAGGUGUGGGCGAAGAAAAAGAAAAGUAUGACUCUUUGUAAGGUUGCGCGCGCUCAUGUUUAGCGUUGUGCCUCGCUGCUGCGGGUGCGGCGAUAUUUGUUGUUGGGGUGGAUCGUGCGAGUAUCUCUCGAGGUCGACGGUAUCUUUUCGUUUUUUUUUGUGUUUUCGGGUUCACCGUGCAGUACUUUCUUGUCUCGCUCCGCGCUUCGUUGUUUUGCGCUUCGCGUGGUUGCUUAUCUUGUGCGAACCACUGACUUUGCCGGCGUCUUUGUUUUCCCUUUUGUUCUCUUUAAGUGCGUUGCGGGCACGCGUGUGCCCCCACCCGUAUAUCUCACUUCUUCCUCCUAUAUCUGUGUCUUGUACUCCUUUUUUUUGGGGGGGGGGCGGUGGCCGCGUUUGUCUGUCUGUGCUCUUUCGUGCGUGUGUGGCUGUCCCUUCUCCCCUUGCCCUGCGGUGUGCUGCUGACGCCACAGCACAGGAGGGAUGAUGAAGGCUCUUCCUUCUUCCUUUGCCCGCUGAUGUUCCCUUCAAACCCUCACACGCCUCGCGUUGUGUAAGCGCAUGUUAAUACAUGUGCGUGUGUGCGUCUCCGUGUCGACGUGCAGCCUUGUGAGGCUUCUCGGGGCGAGAGGGGAGGGAGAGAAAGAGAGAAACGGAGCGGAUGUGAAGGUUGCAAUAAUACUAACCACCGCGCAUGUGACGGCCCUCACGUUCUUCUGCACGCCCACACGCUCUCGGGCAUACAAACGCACGCUCUCGCCGGUGCAAGUAGGCCAAUGGACAGCAAC